rnacentral:snoRNA from 1 species
UGGGCAGCGAUAAUUAAAAAGUAAUUCCUCAUUCUCAAUGCUGUUAUCAUGGCAUAAUGGACAAUUAUGGUAUCCAUAGAAUUUGAGCUUCC